rnacentral:rRNA from 1 species
UCGGGGAACGAUAACGGCGUCGAGCGGCGGACGGGUGAGUAAUGCCUAGGAAAUUGCCCUGAUGUGGGGGAUAACCAUUGGAAACGAUGGCUAAUACCGCAUGAUGCCUACGGGCCAAAGAGGGGGACCUUCGGGCCUCUCGCGUCAGGAUAUGCCUAGGUGGGAUUAGCUAGUUGGUGAGGUAAGGGCUCACCAAGGCGACGAUCCCUAGCUGGUCUGAGAGGAUGAUCAGCCACACUGGAACUGAGACACGGUCCAGACUCCUACGGGAGGCAGCAGUGGGGAAUAUUGCACAAUGGGCGCAAGCCUGAUGCAGCCAUGCCGCGUGUGUGAAGAAGGCCUUCGGGUUGUAAAGCACUUUCAGUCGUGAGGAAGGUAGUAUAGUUAAUAGCAGUAUUAUUUGACGUUAGCGACAGAAGAAGCACCGGCUAACUCCGUGCCAGCAGCCGCGGUAAUACGGAGGGUGCGAGCGUUAAUCGGAAUUACUGGGCGUAAAGCG